UGGGGAAUCUUGCACAAUGGGCGAAAGCCUGAUGCAGCAACGCCGCGUGCGGGAAGAAGGCCCUCGGGUUGUAAACCGCUUUCAGAAGGAACGAAACUGACGGUACUUUCAGAAGAAGGUGCGGCCAACUACGUGCCAGCAGCCGCGGUGACACGUAGGCACCAAGCGUUGUCCGGAUUUAUUGGGCGUAAAGAGCUCGUAGGCGGUUCAGUAAGUCGGGUGUGAAAACUUUGGGCUUAACCCAAAGCGUGCAUCCGAUACUGCUGUGACUUGAGUACGGUAGGGGAGCGGGGAAUUCCUAGUGUAGCGGUGAAAUGCGCAGAUAUUAGGAGGAACACCGGUGGCGAAGGCGCCGCUCUGGGCCGAAACUGACGCUGAGGAGCGAAAGCAUGGGUAGCAAACAGGAUUAGAU
rnacentral:rRNA from 1 species